rnacentral:rRNA from 1 species
GAUGAACGCUAGCGACAGGCUUAACACAUGCAAGUCGAGGGGCAGCAUGAGGUAGCAAUACCUUGAUGGCGACCGGCGCACGGGUGAGUAACGCGUAUGCAACCUGCCCGAUACCGGGGUAUAGCCCAUGGAAACGUGGAUUAACACCCCAUAGUACUUUUAUCCUGCAUGGGCUGUGAGUUAAAUGUUCAAGGUAUCGGAUGGGCAUGCGUCCUAUUAGUUAGUUGGCGGGGUAACAGCCCACCAAGACGAUGAUAGGUAGGGUUCUGAGAGGAAGGUCCCCCACAUUGGAACUGAGACACGGUCCAAACUCCUACGGGAGGCAGCAGUGAGGAAUAUUGGUCAAUGGACGUGAGUCUGAACCAGCCAAGUCGCGUGAGGGAAGACUGCCCUAUGGGUUGUAAACCUCUUUUAUAAGGGAAGAAUAAGUUCUACGUGUAGAAUGAUGCCUGUACCUUAUGAAUAAGCAUCGGCUAAUUCCGUGCCAGCAGCCGCAGUAA